rnacentral:rRNA from 1 species
AAUGGGCGCAAGCCUGAUCCAGCCAUGCCGCGUGAGUGAUGAAGGCCCUAGGGUUGUAAAACUCUUUCGUGGGGGACGAUAAUGACGGUACCCCAAGAAGAAGCUCCGGCUAACUUCGUGCCAGCAGCCGCGGUAAUACGAAGGGGGCUAGCGUUGUUCGGAUUUACUGGGCGUAAAGCGCGUGUAGGCGGGUCGUUAAGUUGGGGGUGAAAUCCCGGAGCUCAACUCCGGAACUGCCUUCAAAACUGGCGACCUGGACUCAAGCAGAGGCAAGUGGAAUUGCGAGUGUAGAGGUGAAAUUCGUAGAUAUUCGCAGGAACACCAGUGGCGAAGGCGACUUGCUGGGCUUGUAGUGACGCUGAGACGCGAAAGCGUGGGGAGCAAA